UACGUAGGGUGCGAGCGUUAAUCGGAAUUACUGGGCGUAAAGCGUGCGCAGGCGGUUUUGUAAGCCAGAUGUGAAAUCCCCGGGCUUAACCUGGGAAUGGCAUUUGGGACUGCAAGGCUGGAGUUUGGCAGAGGAGACUGGAAUUCCUGGUGUAGCAGUGAAAUGCGUAGAUAUCAGGAGGAAUACCGAUGGCGAAGGCAGGUCUCUGGGCUAUAACUGACGCUCAUGCACGAAAGGCGUGGGGAGCAAACAGG
rnacentral:rRNA from 1 species